AUUGAACGCUGGCGGAAUGCUUUACACAUGCAAGUCGAACGGCAGCACGGACUUCGGUCUGGUGGCGAGUGGCGAACGGGUGAGUAAUGUAUCGGAACGUGCACAGUCGUGGGGGAUAACGUAGUGAAAAUUACGCUAAUACCGCAUACGAUCUAUGGAUGAAAGCGGGGGAUCGCAAGACCUCGCGCGAUUGGAGCGGCCGAUAUCAGAUUAGGUAGUUGGUGGGGUAAAGGCCCACCAAGCCAACGAUCUGUAGCUGGUCUGAGAGGACGACCAGCCACACUGGAACUGAGACACGGUCCAGACUCCUACGGGAGGCAGCAGUGGGGAAUUUUGGACAAUGGGCGCAAGCCUGAUCCAGCCAUGCCGCGUGCAGGAUGAAGGCCUUCGGGUUGUAAACUGCUUUUGUACGGAACGAAAAGGUUUGGCUUAAUACGUUGAACUCAUGACGGUACCGUAAGAAUAAGCACCGGCUAACUACGUGCCAGCCGCCGCGGUAA
rnacentral:rRNA from 1 species